CGGGCUGUAGCGCAGUUUGGUAGCGCACCACACUGGGGGUGUGGGGGUCGCAGGUUCAAAUCCUGUCAGUCCGA
rnacentral:tRNA from 3 species